UACAGAGGCCUCGAGCGUUAGGCGGUAUCACUGGGCUUAAAGCGUGUGUAGGCGGUGUUCUAAGUACCUUGUGAAAUCCCACGGCUCAACCGUGGAACUGCUUGGUAUACUGGUUCUCUUGAGGUACCUAGGGGCGAGCGGAACAAGUGGUGGAGCGGUGAAAUGCGUAGAUAUCACGUGGAACGCCAACGGUGAAAACAGCUCGCUGGGGGUAUCCUGACGCUGAAACGCGAAAGCCAGGGGAGCAAACGGG
rnacentral:rRNA from 1 species